AUUGAACGCUGGCGGCAGGCCUAACACAUGCAAGUCGAGCGGAUGAAGGGAGCUUGCUCCUGGAUUCAGCGGCGGACGGGGGAGUGAUGCCUAGGAAUCUGCCAGGUAGUGGGGGAUGACGUCAGGAAACGGGCGCUGAUACCACAAACGUCCAGAGGGGGAAGGUGGGGGAUGGUGGGACCUCAGGCUCUCAGAUGCGCCUGGGUCGGAUUAGCUAGUUGGUGGGGUAAAGGCCUACCAAGGCGACGAUCCGUAACUGGUCUGAGAGGAUGAUCAGUCACACUGGAACUGAGACACGGUCCAGACUCCUACGGGAGGCAGCAGUGGGGAAUAUUGGACAAUGGGCGAAAGCCUGAUCCAGCCAUGCCGCGUGUGUGAAGAAGGUCUUCGGAUUGUAAAGCACUUUAAGUUGGGAGGAAGGGCAGUAAGUUAAUACCUUGAUGUUUUGACGUUACCAACAGAAGAAGCACCGGCUAACUUCGUG
rnacentral:rRNA from 1 species